GAUGAACGCUAGCUACAGGCUUAACACAUGCAAGUCGAGGGGAAACGACAUCGAAAGCUUGCUUUUGAUGGGCGUCGACCGGCGCACGGGUGAGUAACGCGUAUCCAACCUGCCCAUCACUUGGGAAUAACCUUGCGAAAGUAAGACUAAUACCCAAUGACAUCCCACGAAGACAUCUGAAUGGGAUUAAAGAUUUACCGGUAUUGGAUGGGGAUGCGUCUGAUUAGCUUGUUGGCGGGGUAACGGCCCAGCAAGGCGACGAUCAGUAGGUGUUCUGAGAGGAUGAUCAGCCACAAUGGGACUGAGACACGGCGCAGACUGCUACGGGAGGCAGCAGUGGGGAAUCUUGAGCAAUGGGGGAAAGCCUGACGCAGCCAUGCCGCGUGAAUGAUGAAGGUCUUAGGAUUGUAAAAUUCUUUCACCGGGGAAGAUAAUGACGGUACCCGGAGAAGAAGCCCCGGCUAACUUCGUG
rnacentral:rRNA from 1 species